GACGAACGCUGGCGGCGUGCUUAACACAUGCAAGUCGAACGGAAAGGCCCUGCUUUUGUGGGGUGCUCGAGUGGCGAACGGGUGAGUAACACGUGAGUAACCUGCCCUUGACUUUGGGAUAACUUCAGGAAACUGGGGCUAAUACCGGAUAGGAGCUCCUGCUGCAUGGUGGGGGUUGGAAAGUUUCGGCGGUUGGGGAUGGACUCGCGGCUUAUCAGCUUGUUGGUGGGGUAGUGGCUUACCAAGGCUUUGACGGGUAGCCGGCCUGAGAGGGUGACCGGCCACAUUGGGACUGAGAUACGGACCAGACUCCAACGGGAGGCAGCAGUGGGGAAUCUUGCACAAUGGGCGGAAGCCUGAUGCAGCAACGCCGCGUGCGGGAUGACGGCCUUCGGGUUGUAAACCGCUUUCGCCUGUGACGAAGCGUGAGUGACGGUAAUGGGUAAAGAAGCACCGGCUAACUACGUG
rnacentral:rRNA from 1 species